UACGUAGGUGGCAAGCGUUGUCCGGAUUUAUUGGGUUUAAAGGGUGCGUAGGCGGUCCUAUAAGUCAGUGGUGAAAUGCUCUAGCUUAACUAGAGAGGUGCCAAUGAUACUGUAGGACUUGAGUACAGAUGAGGUAGGCGGAAUUGACGGUGUAGCGGUGAAAUGCACAGAUAUCGUCAAGAACACCUAUAGCGAAGGCAGCUUACUGGGCUGUAACUGACGCUGAGGCACGAAAGUGUGGGGAUCAAACAGG
rnacentral:rRNA from 1 species